AUUGAACGCUGGCGGCAGGCCUAACACAUGCAAGUCGAACGAGUGGCGGACGGGUGAGUAAUGUCUGGGAAACUGCCUGAUGGAGGGGGAUAACUACUGGAAACGGUAGCUAAUACCGCAUACCAUCGGAUGUGCCCAGAUGGGAUUAGCUAGUAGGGGGGGUAACGGCCUACCAAGGCGACGAUCCGUAACUGGUCGGAGAGGAGGAUCAGUCACACGGGAACUGAGACACGGUCCAGACUCCUACGGGAGGCAGCAGUGGGGAAUAUUGGACAAUGGGCGAAAGCCUGAUCCAGCCAUGCCGCGUGUGGGAAGAAGGUCUUCGGAUUGUAAAGCACUUUCAGCGGGGAGGCGUUACCCGCAGAAGAAGCACCGGCUAACUCCGUGCCAGCAGCCGCGGUAAUUC
rnacentral:rRNA from 1 species